rnacentral:rRNA from 1 species
AGAGCAACGCCGCGUGGAGGAUGACGGUUUUCGGAUUGUAAACUCCUUUUCUCAGGGAAGAGCGAGGACGGUACCUGAGGAAUAAGUCACGGCUAACUACGUGCCAGCAGCCGCGGUAAUACGUAGGUGGCAAGCGUUAUCCGGAAUUACUGGGCGUAAAGCGCACGCAGGUGGCUGCUUAAGUCUGACGUGAAAGCUCCUGGCUUAACUGGGAGAGGUCGUUGGAGACUGGGCGGCUUGAGGCGAGGAGAGGGGUGUAGAAUUCCCGGUGUAGUGGUGGAAUGCGUAGAGAUCGGGAGGAAUACCAGUGGCGAAAGCGGCACCCUGGCCUUGGCCUGACGCUCAGGUGCGAAAGCGUGGGGAGCGAACGGGAUUAGAUACCCCGGUAGUCCACGCGGUAAACGAUGAAUACUAGGUGUAGGUGGUCUCAAAACUAUCUGUACCGCAGCUAACGCGAUAAGUAUUCCGCCUGGGGAGUACGACCGCAAGG